UACGAAGGGGGCUAGCGUUGCUCGGAAUCACUGGGCGUAAAGCGCACGUAGGCGGACUCUUAAGUCGGUGGUGAAAUCCUGGAGCUCAACUCCAGAACUGCCUUCGAUACUGAGAGUCUCGAGUCCGGGAGAGGUGAGUGGAACUGCGAGUGUAGAGGUGAAAUUCGUAGAUAUUCGCAAGAACACCAGUGGCGAAGGCGGCUCACUGGCCCGGUACUGACGCUGAGGGGCGAAAGCGUGGGGAGCAAACAGG
rnacentral:rRNA from 1 species